rnacentral:rRNA from 1 species
GAUGAACGCUGGCGGCGUGCCUAAUACAUGCAAGUCGAGCGAACGGACGAGAAGCUUGCUUCUCUGAUGUUAGCGGCGGACGGGUGAGUAACACGUGGAUAACCUACCUAUAAGACUGGGAUAACUUCGGGAAACCGGAGCUAAUACCGGAUAAUAUUUUGAACCGCAUGGUUCAAAAGUGAAAGACGGUCUUGCUGUCACUUAUAGAUGGAUCCGCGCUGCAUUAGCUAGUUGGUAAGGUAACGGCUUACCAAGGCAACGAUGCAUAGCCGACCUGAGAGGGUGAUCGGCCACACUGGAACUGAGACACGGUCCAGAAUCCUACGGGAGGCAGCAGUAGGGAAUCUUCCGCAAUGGGCGAAAGCCUGAAGGAGCAACGCCGCGUGAGUGAUGAAGGUCUUCGGAUCGUAAAACUCUGUUAUUAGGGAAGAACAUAUGUGUAAGUAACUGUGCACAUCUUGACGGUACCUAAUCAGAAAGCCACGGCUAACUACGUG